rnacentral:rRNA from 1 species
AACGAACGCUGGCGGCAGGCUUAACACAUGCAAGUCGAACGCCCCGCAAGGGGAGUGGCAGACGGGUGAGUAACGCGUGGGAAUCUACCCAGUUCUACGGAACAACACAGGGAAACUUGUGCUAAUACCGUAUACGCCCGAUAGGGGAAAGAUUUAUCGGAAUUGGAUGAGCCCGCGUUGGAUUAGCUAGUUGGUGAGGUAACGGCUCACCAAGGCGACGAUCCAUAGCUGGUCUGAGAGGAUGAUCAGCCACACUGGGACUGAGACACGGCCCAGACUCCUACGGGAGGCAGCAGUGGGGAAUAUUGGACAAUGGGCGCAAGCCUGAUCCAGCCAUGCCGCGUGAGUGAUGAAGGCCUUAGGGUUGUAAAGCUCUUUCAGUAGGGAAGAUAAUGACGGUACCUACAGAAGAAGCCCCGGCUAACUUCGUGCCAGCAGCCGCGGUAAUAC